GCUUUUAUCCAGAGGGAAAGUAGAGAACAGGAUCGGAGGGAAGGAAAUAGAGAGGAUGUGGAGUAAAGAUAAACUAUUAAUCUCAUAAAACAAAUAGUUCAUGUGGCCUUAUUCAUGUGUUACAACACAGAAAGAUCCCAAAAAGAGAAUAGACUUUAAAAAAUACUGACACUAGUUUCUGAUCCCAGGUCCAGACUGCUCAGAUCUCUGAUGUUCUGAUCAUCCCAGGUUGGAUCUCCUGAGCCUGGAAUCCUCCACCUUCAACACCACCAGUCAGGUGGAGGAAGAUAAGAGAACCCAGUUGGUCAAAAAAAUUGACCAACAAUUAAAGCAGAAGACCUGCUCCACCUGCUGUUCUACUGGUUGGAAGAGAUUGUGGAAAAGCAUCAGCGAGACAAGACAAGACUGGACCAAUGAGGAGAGAGAAGACACAGAGGACUGAGGAGACGCAGAAAAUCCUGCUGGAAAUCCAGAGAAGAUGUUUCCUGAUGCAUCAGGGGGACAGCUGAGGACGGGACACAGCAUAAAGAGACAGAGAUCAUGUGAAAUUCAAGGAUGGCCUUUCAACCCUGGAUGUCAUUUAUGCUUCGGAGCUUCAUUCUUCUGUGUUCAGGCCCUUUAUGUGCACAAGGGUGGAAAAGCUGACAUCAGAAAUGUUAGAGGAAAUCUGUGAAGUUCAGCUCAGCGAAAAGGACAGCACCAGACGACAAGAAGAAACCAGACUGCUAGGAUUCUCCUUGAGACAGACCAAACCUCGCUUUCCUGUUCAAACACUGUCAAGAUACCAAAGCCCAAAACAAAUGAUCAAUUCCAAAAAACAUGGACUUUGGGAUAAAAACUCUUUGGACUUUAUUAAGUUCAAAUACAGAAUCACAAAACAUAAAUGUGGAUGUUGGCCUGUGAAGGCAGAUGUUAACUUGUGAAACCUGCUCUGUUCAACUGUCACUACCAACUGUUAUGACUAUUGUUGAAAACUGUUGUAAUGCUUCAUUGUAUUUACAUGUAAAUAUUAGAAAUGAACAUUUUUAUGUCAUCAAAAAUUGUUGCAAUAAAAAGUGACAUACUAUUAA